UUGUGUGAUUAGUUUCAAUUAGUUUCAAGUAAAAAUCAAAUCAUCGACAUAUAGACAUAUUAUAACAAUAUCUCAAAAAUUUGUGCAUUUAACAUAUAAAGUAU